AAGUCGUAACAAGGUAACCGUAGGUGAACCUGCGGUUGGAUCAUUACUGAAUUUGCCUGUAAUUAUCGACGCGUCCCCUUAAAAGGAAGCGUCGUUAAAAACAGCUUACCCCCUUUGCGGACUAUAUACUGAUUGUUGACAGCCCUUCUGUGUUUGUCUUGUGUAACUUUGUAAAAAAUUUUGCGCAGGGUGCCACAAUGGGCUGUUGACGCGUUUUUUCGUCACACUUGUGUGCGGAAUGACAAAUAAACACCUAUAUUUUACCAACAACUCGAGCAUUGUGCCUUCAAAAGCCAAUAUUUGUAUUGUAAACGUCUCCAUGCGAUUCUAUUACAAGAAGCGCGUAUUUUUAAAUAAGAUACAACUUUUGACAAUGGAUCUCUUGGCUCUC
rnacentral:misc_RNA from 1 species